rnacentral:rRNA from 1 species
UACGUAGGGGGCAAGCGUUGUCCGGAUUUACUGGGCGUAAAGAGCGCGCAGGCGGUCGUUCAAGUCGAGUGUGAAAGCCCCCGGCUCAACUGGGGAGGGUCACGCGAUACUGAUCGACUGGAAGGCAGGAGAGGGUAGUGGAAUUCCCGGUGUAGUGGUGAAAUGCGUAGAUAUCGGGAGGAACACCAGUGGCGAAGGCGACUACCUGGCCUGUUCUUGACGCUGAGGCGCGAAAGCCAGGGGAGCGAACGGG